AAGGACAUGAAAGAAUAAAUAGUAGGAUAGGGUUCUCAAUGCAAAUAUAGAAAAGUGGAAGAAAGGUGGUUAGAAUGGUUUAUAAAUAGGCUGGGAUUCCUAAUACAAAAUUGUCUUCUACAUUUUAGGAGUAAGCUUUAAAAAACUAUUGGAGGAACCCAACAAAUAUGCUCCCAACAUUUUUUAGAUACUUGAAAAACUCAUUGAUUUGCCAAUUAUUAUUUGGGGAACUAUUGGAGAUGCUAACAUUUUUGUGAGUCAUCGCUUGUGAAUUUGUAUUGGUGGCCCACCUAGCGUACCCUCUAGGCUCACCCCUCGUACUAGUAGUAUCCAAAGUUGUUCAAAGGCUUUGUAGAAUUAUCUCAAAGCUAUAAGAGCAUAGGUAAAAUCACUAUCUACAAUUUAUAAAUGGUGUCAAAUAGAAUAUGAAAAACACACCACUUUUUCUAUACUACAUCAAUUUGGUUGACCCGAGCAAUCCUUUCACUUUCUAAGGCCACAUCUAGAUUACCUGGAUGUAAAGCAUGUCGUCAGAAGAUUGAGAAGUGCAUAGAGUAUUCAUCUAGUAUCCAUUGUCCUGAAGAAACUUUAAACAAGCUUUCAUAGCAUUUCUCUUAGCGACCGUCUGAUUCGAUGUGUUGUCCCCACACCACCAAUUUUGAAAUCAAUAUGACAUCGUCGUAGCUGUCUAUUACAUGAUACAUUUGUCACAUCAUUCAUUGACUCAACUGUAACACCCUAAAAUUUGCUUGUUUUUAAACAGUUGAAUUUCAUUUUUUAGUAAAGUUUGUGAGCAUUAAAUAUAAAAAAUAAUAAUAAUAAUAAUAAUUUUUGGGAAGUUAAAAUUUAAUAUAAGUUUAGAAACAUAUUUUGAUGCAUUCAUGCUGCAGCACUUAUUUUUGUGAUGUGUGAAUUUCUUCAAAAGAAAAUUUUGUUCAAAAUUUAAAUUAAAAAUGCUUCCGAAAAUGAGUUGAAAAAUAAAAAGAAAAAUCCUUUCCCCCCCUCCUCUUCUCCUUUCGGCCUUUUCGGCCCAACCCUUCCCCGCGCCUCCCCUUCUCUUCGUGGGCCGAGGCCCAGUCGGCCACCCUCUUCCCUCCCUCUCUCCUUUCCACUGACAGGUGGGGCCACCUUGUCAGCUCCUUCUCCUCCAACUGCCUCCAUCCUCUCCCUUCGCAUGAAUGGAAACCGACGCCGCUCCCCGCUCCCCGCUCCCACAUCCCCACGUUCUCCUCGCGUUCAGCACGAGUGCCCGCGCUCGAGCCGCGACCCCGUCUCUCAUUUUGCCCUCUCCCCGCUCCCUGUCCCGCUCCGGCACUCACCCAGGAC
rnacentral:lncRNA from 1 species